rnacentral:rRNA from 1 species
UACAGAGGGGGCAAGCGUUAUUCGGAAUUAUUGGGCGUAAAGGGCGCGUAGGCGGCUUUGCAAGUGACGGGUGAAAUCCCUCGGCUUAACCGAGGAACUGCCUGUCAAACUGCAUGGCUUGAGACCGGGUGAGGUGAGUGGAAUUCCCAGUGUAGCGGUGAAAUGCGCAGAUAUCAGGAGGAACACCGAUGGCGAAGGCAGGUCUCUGGGCCACUACUGACGCUGAGAAGCGAAAGCAUGGGGAGCGAACAGG